AUUUCCGUUUUUGGUAUGAGAUUGCAGAAGAAUGGUUUGACUAGAAAUGCAGUUUUUUUACAAUCAUUCUGAUAACCUUUUAGUCUCUCGGCAGAACUACAGUUCGAACCGCUGUGGUUAAAACCCAUUCUUGCAGGCGUACCAGUGCAAGUGAAAGGGAAUCACUAAAGGGCAAGUUGGCUAUAUUAACACCCAUUCAUCUUCACACCAAAAAAAUUGAUGGUGCUGAUGAGCAAAAGCUAAUUGAGGGAAACACAAACGAGCUACCUCCCCUCACAGUACUGCAAAAGAUUUCCAGUGAAAAAAAAAACUUGAAAACAGAAUGGACACACAUCCUUUUCUGGAUUGCAUGAAAAUCCUAGAAGAACAAGACCUUAACCAUGAGUUCAGUCAUCUAAACCAUUAUUCUCUGCAGUUUGUGCAGUCAUCACUCACAUGUACACAACUGAUCAGCGACAAGUUUUAAAUAACUUCCAAAAAAAGGCACUCUUCGCUUAUGCCUGGAUGCAACAGGAACAGUUGUUGCUAAUCCAAGGAAUGUUAAGCAUGUACUGUUCUUCUGCAACAUCAACAACAGGGCCAACAGUUGUUCCAGUUGCUGAAAUGCUCUCAUCUGACCAGAGUACACCAUCCAUCCAGCACUGGCUAACAUGUCUUUUACAGGACUUUCUUAAAAAUGUUUUAAAAAACACCUACAACCGGACAAAAUUGAAACUGAUUUCAGCAGUGCAAUAAUACAUGCAUGUGUACAUGCUUUCUGCCAGCAAACAAUACACAAAUACUUGCAGCAGUGUCUUCUGGCUUGUGAGGGAAAAGAACAUUGUUCAUUCCUUGUAGUGUACAUUUGUUCAGCACACAUGCUCAAAAUAUUCUGCUGCAAGGUAGCCUGUAUAAAACAUUAAAACCCACCAAACAGCUUUUCAUAUAUUUAAUGGCAUUGAUGCAGAAUGCCACAACACUACAGGAGAUUUAAGCACUGGUUGGGGACAUUUUCACUGUUUUUACAGAAGAAAAAAACAGCAUGCCGCCAGGAUAGUCUAAAAAUAUGCAGAAUGCAAUCCAAAACCAGGCCAUUGUUGUGGAUUGGGGAAACUUCAGAAGUGAAAAAGAAGAAUUUCUAUGCCGACAUCACAAAAGACAAUCAGGCAUGACUCUUCCUUUGUUCAAAUGUUUGAAUAUAUCCUCUCAGAUAGGAGAAAACAUUUGAAACAUAAAACCAUUGUAGCUCCUACCACUGCCUACUUUUGAUUAAUGUGCUUAGGUCAUACAUAGGCACAUUACUACUCUGGACAAACAUCAUGUUGAAACACCUUGGCUAGACUCGUGACACUAAUGCAACAGCUGAAAAUUGGUUCAGGACAACAACAAAAAUAGUCUUGAAAAAUAAACUACACAGGCGGUCAGGAAAUUUCAUACAGGAAAUGCAUGAAUUCAUCUGUGGUCGCCUGUGUGGUAUUCAGAUAACUGCAAUCUGAAAAAAAAAAAAAAACUACUGAGGACAAAGAAAUAGACGAAAUUGACCAAACACUGAGUCUGGAGGAGAAGUAUUGAAAAAAGACACAGAAAUAUACUACAACCCCCCAAAGAGUCAAAAAGUGGCAGUCAAGGAAGAAUCUUUCACAUCUCCUCCAUCGUCUGGUCAUGGACAGCUGGAAGGUCGCUCUUUGACGCUGACCAACACAUGUACCAUUGAUAAUCUGUUGUACAUCAUGCACCUAACUUUCAGGGACAGGCCACUCAUUCUUUACACGCAGAGGAAAUAAAAACAAAAGACAAGUGGAUAGAUACAUUGCUUAAGAUUCAUCAGGAGUUCAUGGCAGGCCAGUGGUCUCAGAUGAAGAUCUUAUGGCCAAAGGGAAUGGAGAGAUUUGAAGGAAAGGAUUGAUGGGAUGCUUUUGGAACAGAAGAUGACUUUGUUGUGUGUCGCCUUGAUUACAUUCAUGCAACGGAAAGAAUGUUUGUAUGCACCCAAAUGCCCUUCUCCUCAAAUCCCAAAGCUUACUGGAUAGCUGGUGUUGUAUGCCAUGACUUCUCUGAACUGCAAUUAUCCACUGACAACUGGGAGGUUUAUGCAAAGACAUUCAAGUGUCAAGCACAGUAAUAGAAAGGUAUGCCCGGGAAGGAGAACCUACACCAACCAGAGGUUUAUUCAUGAAAUUCCUCCUUUUGUGGUCAUAUCAGUCUAUUCAACAGUCUACAGUUAUGGUCAUCCGGAACUGCAGCCACCAAUGCUUUCUUCAUCGGUGUUAAUUUGUGGCCAAAGGCAAGACUCCUUUUAACUGACAGAUUAUACAUAUGUAAAGAUUCAAUUUAAUUUUCAACACAAGUAUAAAUACAUAUAAUUUAUUAACAACAAAAAAAAUACAAUAAUUACAAGUUAUCUUUUACCUUUGUUGACAAUCAUUAAUAUAAAAAAAGCUAAUUAUAUAAAACUAAGGUACAAUAUUACAUUUAAACAAUAUGAUGUUAU